rnacentral:rRNA from 1 species
AUUGAACGCUGGCGGCAGGCCUAACACAUGCAAGUCGAGCGGAGCGGCGGACGGGUGAGUAAUGCCUAGGAAUCGGCCUGGUAGUGGGGGAUAACGUCCGGAAACGGGCGCUAAUACCGCAUAAGAUCAGAUGAGCCUAGGUGGGAUUAGCUAGUUGGUGGGGUAAAGGCUUACCAAGGCGAAGAUCCGUACAUGGUCUGAGAGGAUGAUCAGUCACACUGGAACUGAGACACGGUCCAGACUCCUACGGGAGGCAGCAGUGGGUAAUAUUGGGCAAUGGGCGAAAGCCUGAUCCAGCCAUGCCGCGUGUGUGAAGAAGGUCUUCGGAUUGUAAAGCCCUUUAAGUUGGGAGGCGUUACCAACAGAAUAAGCACCGGCUAACUUCGUGCCAGCCGCCGCGGUAAUUC